rnacentral:rRNA from 1 species
ACGGGAGGCAGCAGUGGGGAAUAUUGGGCAAUGGGGGAAACCCUGACCUAGCAACGCCGCGUGAAGGAGGAAGGCCCUCGGGUUGUAAACUUCUUUUACCAGGGACGAACAAAAUGACGGUACCUGGAGAAAAAGCAACGGCUAACUACGUGCCAGCAGCCGCGGUAAUACGUAGGUUGCAAGCGUUGUCCGGAUUUACUGGGUGUAAAGGGCGUGUAGGCGGAGAAGCAAGUCAGAUGUGAAAUCCCGGGGCUUAACCCCGGAACUGCAUUUGAAACUGUUUCCCUUGAGUAUCGGAGAGGCAAGCGGAAUUCCUAGUGUAGCGGUGAAAUGCGUAGAUAUUAGGAGGAACACCAGUGGCGAAGGCGGCUUGCUGGACGACAACUGACGCUGAGGCGCGAAAGCGUGGGGAGCAAACAGGAUUAGAUACCCUGGUA